rnacentral:ncRNA from 2 species
UCACCAAGCUAGGGGUGCCUGAGACCCAUUCCAGGCUGAGAUCACACCCUUAGAACCUGAGUCCGGGUCAUGCCGGCGGAGGGAAGCUGUCUAUCUGAGGA